rnacentral:rRNA from 1 species
UACGGAAGGCAGCAGUGGGGAAUAUUGCACAAUGGGCGAAAGCCUGAUGCAGCUAUGCCGCGUGUAUGAAGAAGGCCUUAGGGUUGUAAAGUACUUUCAUCGGGGAGGAAAAAACAAAACUAAUAAUUUUAUUUCUUGACGUUACCCGAAAAAGAAGCACCGGCUAACUCCGUGCCAGCAGCCGCGGUAAUACGGAGGGUGCUAGCGUUAAUCAGAAUUACUGGGCGUAAAGAGCACGUAGGUGGUUUUUUUAAGUCAGAUGUGAAAUCCCUGGGCUUAACCUAGGAACUGCAUUUUGAAACUGAAAUACUAGAGUAUCGUAGAGGGAGGUAGAAUUCUAGGUGUAGCGGUGAAAUGCGUAGAUAUCUGGAGGAAUACCUGUGGCGAAAGCGGCCUCCUAAACGAAUACUGACACUGAGGUGCGAAAGCGGGGGAGCAAACAGGGAUUAGAUACC